CUACGGGCGGCAGCAGUGGGGAAUUUUGGACAAUGGAGGAAACUCUGAUCCAGGGAUACCGCGUGGGUGAUGAAGAUUUACGGAUUGUAAAGCCCUUUUAGUAGGGAAAAUAAUGAUGGUACCUACAGAAAAAGCAUCAGCUAACUCUGUGCCAGCAGCCGCGGUAAUACAGAGGAUGCGAGUGUUAUUCGGAAUCACUGGGCGUAAAGGGCGCGUAGGCGGUUAUUUAAGUCCGCAAUGAAAUACCGGGGCUCAACUUCGGUGCUGUUGUGGAUACUGUUUAACUAGAGAACGGAAGAGGUGAAUAGAAUUCCUGGUGGAGAGGUGAAAUUCUUAGAUAUCAGGAGGGAUGCCAGAGGCGAAAGCGGUUCACUGGGACGUUUCUGACGCUGAGGCGCGAAAGCGUGGGGAUCAAACAGGAUUAGAUACCCCUGUAGUC
rnacentral:rRNA from 1 species